UACAUUUUAGUAUAAGAUGUAUUAAAGUUUUUGAUACUUUAGGUAAUAGUUUAAUUCUAUUAAAUGUAA
rnacentral:tRNA from 1 species